rnacentral:rRNA from 1 species
AUGGCUGUCGUCAGCUCGUGUUGUGAAAUGUUGGGUUAAGUCCCGCAACGAGCGCAACCCUUAUCCUUGUUUGCCAGCGAGUAAUGUCGGGAACUCCAGGGAGACUGCCGGUGAUAAACCGGAGGAAGGUGGGGACGACGUCAAGUCAUCAUGGCCCUUACGAGUAGGGCUACACACGUGCUACAAUGGCGCAUACAGAGGGCGGCCAACUUGCGAAAGUGAGCGAAUCCCAAAAAGUGCGUCGUAGUCCGGAUUGGAGUCUGCAACUCGACUCCAUGAAGUCGGAAUCGCUAGUAAUCGUAGAUCAGAAUGCUACGGUGAAUACGUUCCCGGGCCUUGUACACACCGCCCGU